GUUUUAAUAGUUUAAUAAAAACACUGGUCUUGUAAAUCAAAAAUAUAAUAAAUUUAUUUAAAACU
rnacentral:tRNA from 1 species